AAAGCGGUGGUGUUCAAUGGAAGCAUGCCCGAUUCUCAGUCGGGAGGUACCAGUUCGACUCUGGUUCGUUU
rnacentral:tRNA from 1 species